rnacentral:lncRNA from 10 species
GCUAACACAGUGAAACCCCAUCUCUACUGAAAAUACAAAAAAUUAGCCGGGUGUGGUGGUGGGAGCCUGUAGUCCCAGCUACUCAGAAGGCUGAGGCAGGAGAAUGGUGUAAACCCAGGAGGCAGAGCUUGCAGUGAGCCAAGAUUGUGCCACUGCACUCCAGCCUGGGUGACAGAGCAAGACUCCGUCUCAAAAAAAUAAAAAAAAUAAAAAUAUAUAUAUUUUUCUGUGUCCAUAAACUUCAAUGAAUAAUGGGAAAAAAUGAAAACUUCUAAUAUUCUAAAGAUUAAUAACAGAAAAAUUUGCAAUUAAUUAAAAUACUUGCUGAAAUUAACUGAAUAUCUGGCAAUUAAUUGCUCUUAUUUGUGAUAAUAAGUUCAGCAAGCCAACAGGUUCGUCAGAGUGCCCAUAAACUAAUCAUAUUUCAAUUUAAAUCUUUCAUAAACCCCUACAUAAAAACCUACUGCUUUUUUAUAUAAAUACAAGAAUAAAUAAUAAAGAACUGG